UUAGACUUUGCCGCAAUUUUACAGUAACUUACCGCAAAAAAGCCCAGUAAAAUACCAUUUAUAUUAUUUACGGUAAACUACUGUAAUAUGCACUGCAUUGUGGGUAUUUUGUAUGAAUUUUACAGUAACUUACUGUAUAUGGUAAUUUACAGUACUUUACUGUUUACGCAAAAGCAGUAGUGCUACUGUAAAUGAAGAAGACAGAUUUAUUUACAUACAAUUAAAUUGUAAUCACUGCCUUUGUCAUUGUGUCCACAACUUGUAUUUUAGGCCUAUUAAAAUGUCAUAUGAUAAUGUUUUAUAGUUUUUUCUGUCUUGUUCUGCAGAUGAAAAUCAUAAAAUCAUUCUCAUUUCACACACUGGAUGUUAAUUUUAAUAGUAGCAUUUUCUCCAAAAAACAACAACAACAACAACAACAACAAUAAUAAUAAUAAUAAUAAUAAUAAUAAUAAUAAUAAUAAUAAUAAACGGAGCAGAAACAAUAGGGUCCUCUCACAAUUGGUGCUCGGGCCCUAAUAAUAAUAGUAAUGGACAACUGGUUCCCAUAGAGGCAAAUUAGGCAUUUUUGGUUUUAUUUUUAUGCCAGGUAAAAGAGCACAGGUGUGGUGAUAUUUAAAUAGCAAUAAUAAUAAUAAUAAUAAUUAUAAUUAUAAUAAUUAUAAUAACUUUGCUUAAACCUCACAAAUUUUAAAUUGUUGCUCACGUGCAAAGCCCACGGAACAACCUGGCAGAAUGUAAACUGAUGUUUGUGUGACGUGUUGAGUGCGCGCAAAACUGACGUCUCUCAGAGUGGAUCAUACCUAGACGCCAGCUGCGAGAUUUUCUGAGUGUUGAUUGUCAUCUGAUUGUGAGCUAACUACAGCCCAAAGGCUCUUUUAAGAGCCACAAGCACUGAGGAUCUUUGGCUUUCCAACCUCAACCAAGAUGUCGGUUGAGCAGGAGAUGACAUUGCCUACCACACCACAGGUGAUCAUGCUAGGUAUGAGAAAUAAUUGUUGAGAAUUCUAUUACAAGAAACAAUUUAGCUGAAGAUGCCUUUGUUUUAGGGAGUAGUCUGCUGUUUGCAACCUACUGCAGCAUUGAGGGGAAGGUCUUCUAUGAAGCUAACCAACUUCAUAACUUUGCCAGUGCUUUCGCUGUCUUUUUCGGCUCCUUUUAUGUUUUCAAUCUGGAGUAUCAGGAGGCAGCAUCCACUAUGCUGGAGAUGGUACAGAGAAAGGAAUUGAUGCCACCUGACACCAGUGAUCUGCUGUGAUUGGUGGAGUGGAAGUUUGGAACUGUUUCUGAAGUGUAUUUUUAUUGUGAUUUUUUUUUUUUUUUAUUUGUU